UACGGAGGAUGCAAGCGUUAUCCAGAUUUAUUGGGUUUAAAGGGUGCGCAGGCGGCGCGUUAAGUCAGCGGUGAGAUGUCCCGGCUCAACCGGGGCACUGCCGUUGAUACUGGCGUGCUCGAGUACAGACGGCGCCGGCGGAAUGUGUCAUGUAGCGGUGAAUGCUUAGAUAUGCCACAGAACACCGAUCGCGAAGGCAGCUGGCGAGGCUGGGACUGACGCUCGGGCACGAAAGCGUGGGGAUCAAACA
rnacentral:rRNA from 1 species